rnacentral:misc_RNA from 1 species
GAUGAAGAACGUAGCGAAAUGCGAUAAGUAAUGUGAUUUGCAGAAUUCAGUGAAUCAUCGAAUCUUUGAACGCACAUUGCGCCCCUUGGUAUUCCGAGGGGCAUGCCUGUUCGAGCGUCAUUUCAACCCUCAAGCACAGCUUGGUCUUGGGCUUCGCCGCUAACCCGGCGGGUCUUAAAAUCAGUGGCGGUGCCGUCGGGCCCUGAGCGCAGUAAUCUCUCUCGCUAUAGGGUCCCGGCGGAUGCUGGCCAGUAACCCCCAAUUUUCUAUGGUUGACCUCGGAUCAGGUAGGGAUACCCGCUGAACUUAAGCAUAUCAAUAAGCGGAGGA